UACGGGGGGAGCAAGCGUUGUUCGGAUUCACUGGGCGUAAAGGGUGCGUAGGUGGUGAGGUAAGUCGGAUGUGAAAGCUCGGAGCUCAACUCCGAAAUGGCAUUGGAAACUACCUUGCUCGAGGGUUGGAGGGGGGACUGGAAUGCUUGGUGUAGCAGUGAAAUGCGUAGAUAUCAAGCGGAACACCAGUGGCGAAGGCGAGUCCCUGGACAACUCCUGACACUGAGGCACGAAAGCUAGGGGAGCAAACAGG
rnacentral:rRNA from 1 species